AUCUGAAUGUGGAACCCUCAGCUACUCCUCAUCUCCCAUGUCUGUCUGCAUGACGCCAUGAGGAUAAUGGACUAAACUCAGCAUAGGGUGUGGCUGGAGACCGCGAGCACGCUGGUGCCUGAAGUGGACGCAGGGAUUCCCGGUGUAGACCUAUCUACUCAGCAUUCCUUGGCCCGGACCCACCAAGGUAUUAUCGGUAAACCCGAACAGGUGAACCAGGAGUGCUGCAGAACGGGAUCCUACUGGUGGCCGCCUUUGUGUUUAUCUUAUUCUCUUCCUGUUGCCUGUGGAUCCAGAUGUAGAACCCUCAGCUCCUUCUCCGGCACCGUGUCUGCCUGCACGCCGCCAUGUCCCACCGCGAUGACAAUGGGCUAAACCUCUGAACCUGUAAGCCAGCCCAAUGAAAUGUUUUCCUUUAUAAGAGUUGCCGUGGUCAUGGUGUCUCUUCACCGACAGAGGCUGGGCUCAAAAAUGAUUAGAUUGAUUGAUCUGACAGAGG
rnacentral:lncRNA from 1 species